AUAUAGUUUAAUAAAAUAAAUAUCUAAAUUUAAGUGUAUCAUUUACAAUGAUAAGAUGUUUUUAACUU
rnacentral:tRNA from 1 species